rnacentral:snRNA from 1 species
GGGUGACCUGUUGGGGAUACCUGUCAUCACACCAAUUACCUAGGUCAAUUUGCCUGAUCUGUCUGGUCUGGAAGGUGUCCUCUACUAUCCCAUGUGCAUGACUCUUAGAACCUGGGCACCCAGUCAGAGGAUGAUUUUCUUUGGUCGAGGAGAACNAUUCUUUUAUCAAGGCUAUACAAGCAGCUGCAUCCCCUUGGUGAAACCUCCAGACAUCCCAAGGUCCACACCAAGAAUGAGAACUAUCUCUCCCUGCAUUUUUCACCAGACCUUCUCU